rnacentral:antisense_RNA from 1 species
CUUCAGCGAGCCGAGCCAGAGCGGCCGGUCCGCCGGGCGGUCCGUGCCGUACGUCGCCAGCAGGGCCUGCGCCUC